rnacentral:ncRNA from 2 species
GACGCUACCUCGGGGGGCCUUUGGGCUGAGAUGUACGUGUUGUGCGGACCCGUUGAACCUGAACCGGUUAACACCGGCGGAGGGAAGGUCCGGACAGACAUC